CGCCUGUUUAUCAAAAACAUGUCUUUUUGAUUUUAAGAAUAUAAAAAGUCUGACCUGCCCGGUGAAUACAUUAAACGGCCGCGGUAUUUUGACCGUGCGAAGGUAGCAUAAUCAAUUGUCUUAUAAUUGAAGACUGGAAUGAAUGGUUGAACGAAACUAAAACUGUUUCAUUUAUAUUAAUUAGAAAUUGGUUUUUAAAUGAAGAGAUUUAAAUUUAAUUAAUAGACAAGAAGACCCUAUUGAGCUUUAAAUAACUUUAAAAUUAAGAAUUUAUUAUUGGAGAUUUAAGUUUUAAAUGUUUUUUAGUUGGGGCGACUAAGGAACAGGAAAAGCUUCCUUUAUUUGUUAAAUUGAUGGAUUUUGAUCCAGUAUUAAACUGAUUAAUGGAGAUAGUUACCAUAGGGAUAACAGCAUAAUCUUCUUAGAGAGUUCUUAUCAAAAAGGGGGGUUGUGACCUCGAUGUUGGAUUAAAAUGUCCUAAAGGUGUAGAGGCUUUUAAGGGUUGGUCUGUUCGACCAUUAAAAUUUUACGUGAUCUGAGUUCAGACCGG
rnacentral:rRNA from 1 species